rnacentral:rRNA from 1 species
UAACAAUAUUCAUCGUGGCUCUUGUACGCUCUAUACCCUUUGUGAACAUACCUACAACUGUUGCUUCGGCGGGUAGGCCGUCCCCUGAAAAGGACGCCUCCCGGCCCGGACCGGACCCCCCGCGGGACCGGACCCGGCGCCCGCCGGAGGAUAACCAAACUCUAUUGUAACGACGUUUCUUCUGAGUGGCAUAAGCAAAAUAAUCAAAACUUUUAACAACGGAUCUCUUGGUUCUGGCAUCGAUGAAGAACGCAGCGAAAUGCGAUAAGUAAUGUGAAUUGCAGAAUUCAGUGAAUCAUCGAAUCUUUGAACGCACAUUGCGCCCGCCAGCAUUCUGGCGGGCAUGCCUGUUCGAGCGUCAUUUCAACCCUCAAGCUCUGCUUGGUGUUGGGGCUCUACGGUCGACGUAGGCCCUCAAAGGUAGUGGCGGACCCUCCCGGAGCCUCCUUUGCGUAGUAACAUUUCGUCUCGCACUGGGAUCCGGAGGGACUCUUGCCGUAAAAACCCCCAAUUUUCCAAAGGUUGACCUCGGAUCAGGUAGGAAUACCCGCUGAACUUAAGCAUAUCAAUAGGCGGAGGAAAAUCAUUACGGAGUUACGCUCUAUAACCUUUGUGAACUACCUCACUGUUUGCUUCGCGGGUAAGCGUCCCUAAAAGGACGCUCGCCCGGACGACCCGCGGAACGGACCGGGCCGCCGGAGGAUACUAAUUAC